AAAAUAAUCCUACCCUUUGUGAAUUUUGUUUGUUUGAAUAAUUUUUUUUUAAAAAAUUAUUGGAGUCUUUCCCUUUAGGUUUGCUUUUGAGUUUGUAAAAGAAUUCGAAAACAUCUAAAGGGGAUGGUCAAUAAUUUUUUUGAAAAAAGACAUUUUUUAAAAUUAAACUUUUUGUAUUCAUUUGUCUAAAAAUUAUUUUUAUAAUAUAAAAACAACUUUUGACAAUGGAUCUCUUGGUUCUCGCAACGAUGAAAACGCAGCAAAAUGCGAUAAGUAGUGUGAAUUGCAGAAUACGUGAAUCAUCGAAUCUUUGAACGCAUAUUGCACUUUUUUAGUUUACUAAAAAAGUAUGUCUGUUUGAGUAUCAGUAAAAUAUUCUCAUAAAAAUCAUUGUGUAUUUUUAUGGUUAUGAGUGUUUUACAACGAUACAAGUUGUUUCACUUUAAAUUUUUUUUUAAUAUUGAAAUUUUUCUAAUUUUAAUAAUUAAAAUUGGAUAAAAUUUUCCCGUCAAAAGGAAUAACCUAAACAAUUUUAAAUGAUUAAUUUUAGCAAAAUUUUCGAAAAAAAGGAAAAUUUUUAUUAAAAUAACUUGAUCUCAAAUCAGAUAAGAGUACCCGCUGAACUUAAGCAUAUCAAUAAGCGGAGGAAAAGAAACUAACAAGGAUUCCCUUAGUAACGGCGAGUGAAGCGGGAAGAGCUCAAAUUUGAAAUCUUCAAGGUUUUACCUUGACGAAUUGUAGUUUAAAGAAGUGUUUUCUGCUGAAGUUUUGGUAAAAGUUCUUUGGAAUAGGACAUCAUAGAGGGUGAGAAUCCCGUAUUUGACCAUUAUUUUCAGCUUUGUGAUACACUUUCAAAGAGUCGGAUUGUUUGGGAAUGCAGUCCAAAAUGGGUGGUAAAUUUCAUCUAAAGCUAAAUAUUGCGAGAGACCGAUAGCGAACAAGUACCGUGAGGGAAAGAUGAAAAGAACUUUGAAAAGAGAGUUAAACAGUACGUGAAAUUGUCAAAAGGGAAGCGUUGACACCAGUGUUGUUUUCUCGAAAAUCAAUUAAAAAUGGCUCGAUUUUGUAUUGCUGAGACCUUAAAAGCUCACUGUACAUUUUUCGUGUCUUUUUUAAUGCACUUUUCGUUUAACAAGUCAACAUCAGUUUCUUUUGUUGUAAAAGGGUCACUGGAAGGUAGCUUUCUUUUCGGAGAAAGUGUUUAUAGCCUUUGGCCUCUGCAAUCGAGAGACUGAGGUCUGCAGCGUAGACUCUUCGGGUUAGAUACAUUUGUGCUAAGUUAUAGCUUUUUAUAGACAACUUGUUGACUAUAAUUAGUCUUGUAGCUUACUCGCUUAUGCUAUUUUACCUACGCUUAGGAUG
rnacentral:misc_RNA from 1 species